ensembl:lncRNA
AGUCUGUAGUCUGGUCAUUGCUGGAUCCUCCUUGCCCCAUUGCUGUGUUUUCUCUGCUGCUCUGAUGGCUCCAGUUACACAUACCUAUAAGAACAACUGAAACAGUAUAUUCUUCAAUGUCCCUAAGUGAGACAAAGCACCCUAUUUGUUGAUCCAGGCUAGAAUACAGGAAGAGAAAAGAAAAAAGAAAAAAAAAAAGAGUAAGUUAGUGACAGAGGUGGAUUGCCAAGGAUCCUGGCUGGCUGGUCUGAUCCUUCCCUGGAGAAAGGGAAAGGGCCCCUGGCUCUCCAUCUGCAACUCUCCCAUCAAGUGCCCAGUUCUCAGUAGCAUCUUUGCUUUGAUAUUCCUGAGUUUUGGCUCAGGGCUAUGAGGCACGCUGUAGAUGAUGUGUUGAACAUUAGGUGGAACUGAAGUCUAUUCCUUCCACAGCACGCUCACCAGUGGCUGCUGUGGUGGAAACAACACAGUGCAGCAGGGAAGGAGACCCAUGGAGCAACACAAAUUAAUAUUCUAAUGUCACAAAAAGAAGACGCUACAGGAAGGAGCACAGCUGGGAUCUAAAAUGAGGGAGAACGAGUAGUGACUUCAGUCACAGGACAACGAAAAACUGCAGAUGAAGACAGAAAGCAACUCCUGAACUGUGAGACAGGUCUCUAACUCACUUUCAAGUCUAAUGUGUAAGCAAGAGGACACUGAUGUUUGGGGUUCUGUUACAAUGCUGCACUGCACACACUAGGAUACACACACACACACACACACACAGAGAAAGAAGGAAAAAAUGACAACAUGAGGUAAAAGAAAAUGAAGGAAUAAUUUCUCUGAGAAGAAAAAUGCAAGGGCUUAGGUUUCUUUAUCUGAAGCCGCAACUAAGAACUACCUGACUGAUGAUAAGAGAUCCAGAAGCUGGAUCCAGAGAGAAAAGGGAAAGCUUUCAGAACUGCUUCUAGAAGGCAUUAAAUCAGCCUGCUAUCCAGCCAGAUUGGAAACAAAUAUUUUAAUUCCAAAACGUCACAGCACUGGGAGAGAAACCUGCUAAAGCAAAAAAAUUCUGAAUGAAAACCUUGUGGUUUUUAGUUUAUGUAUUUGACAAGCAACUCGUUAUACUAACAACACCAAUACUACAUAUUCUGCAGAAUAUUCCAGGAAAGGUGUCCUUUAGCCAGAACCCAGUUUGAGCCAGGGCUCUCAACUCAGUGUGUCACUCCAUUCUGUGCAUGCCACCUUGUGCAAUUUCAGCUGAUAGCCAACAUUUCCUCGCCCAGACUAACACAGAGGACUUGUGUGGGGCACCACCUGCCUAUUGCUUUUCCCCCCUCAAAAGUGACCUUCACUCAAAGGCCAACACCUACUUGUGUACACAGCAGUCUCCGCUGCCUGAAUCUAGAGACACUGUAUGAACAAAGCUCCCAGAGACUCCACUGGAAAUGUUGCUUGCUCAAGGAUGUGAGGAUGGUCCAUGUUUGUUUAUGAAGUUUCCCAGUCCACUGAGAUGCAGAGAACUACUGCAUGCAGGCAUGAAAUUGUGACUGAGAGGAAAUACCACCACAGGAUAAACUACAAUAUAACUGCACUUAAAAGUGUGUUUAGAACAAAUUUGAUAUAGCAAACUAACACUGAAGUUACAGACUGAGAUUCCUGAAGCUGACUAGGGGAUCUGAGUGCCUGGUUGCUUUUAAUUGAGUGGUAAUGAGAGAUUUGAAUUCCUUAAACCAAAUGGAAUCCUUUAGCACUAAUGCAUAUGUUAAUUGUGAAUCUAUGACUGAUGUUCUUUCUUCCUUGAUGUUUGUAUUCCUACCAAAAAAACAAAACAAAACAAAACCCAAAAAAACCCAACACUAAGACAGCAUUCCCCAGUUGAAUACUUGCCAACAUUGCCAUUCUCUCAUUAGCAUUCUCUCUCCAUUUUUUUCAGGCCCUUUUCUCACAGUGUUCCUCCUUGAGCAGAGGUUAGCCACACAGCUAGCUCCAAUGAAGGCAGAGCCCAGCAUGCAGGUGCUACUCACCUCCAGGCAGCACCUGGAAGGUGUUUCAAAUAGCCACGGCCUUCCAAAUGAGAAAUGUCCCUGUAUGUGUUUACAGUCUUCUAGAAAAGAAAAACAGGAGGGGAGGAGUAAGAGAAAAGAGAGGGCAGGGAAGCAGUAUAAUAAUGAUUAGCAUAAUGGGAUUUGCUAUUCUUGUUAAUAGUUUAAUCAAAAUAAACAUUUACUGAACCCUCUUAAUGUGCUUGCCAUGAUCAAAGUGCUUUAUAUUUAGCUUAGCCCUUGUAAGCCCUGGUUAGCAUUGUCUGCAUCUCUGCCGCCCACUUACUUAGGCCACAAAGCCAGGGGUGAAGCUGGCACUGGGACCUGCAUUUCCUGGCACCUAAAAAC